rnacentral:lncRNA from 1 species
AAGCCCAUUUCAUUCAUUUAGGGGGAACCAAUUCAUAUUACACCUUGAAGCUCCGAAGCUCUGAAACUCCGAAGCUCUCAAGCAUCUAGGUUCCCGAAGAAUCAAGAAAGCCUUCUUCGUUCUUCUUUCAUCGUUCUUCCGAGAUCAAGCCCCGACGGCCCUUGAAGAAAGUGUUCUUCGUUCAUCGUUCUUCCAAGAUCAAGCCCCAAUGGCCCUUUGGAUCAACAAUCAUCCACCAAUUCAAGAUCAAGCCCCGACGGCC